rnacentral:rRNA from 1 species
CCUACGGGUGGCAGCAGUGGGGAAUAUUGCACAAUGGGGGAAACCCUGAUGCAGCGACGCCGCGUGAGUGAAGAAGUAAUUCGUUACGUAAAGCUCUAUCAGCAGGGAAGAAAUACUGACCUUACGGUCAGCAGACGGUACCUGAGUAAGAAGCCACGGCUAACUACGUGCCAGCAGCCGCGGUAAUACGUAGGGGGCAAGCGUUAUCCGGAUUUACUGGGUGUAAAGGGAGCGUAGACGGUUCGCCAAGUCUGGAGUGAAAUGCCGCGGCUUAACUGCGGAACUGCGUUGGAAACUGGCGAGCUAGAGUGCGGGAGAGGUGAGCAGAAUUCCUAGUGUAGCGGUGAAAUGCGUAGAGAUGAGGAGGAACACCGGUGGCGAAGGCGGCUUACUGGACCAAAACUGACGUUGAGGCGCGAAAGCGUGGGGAGCAAACAGGAUUAGAUACCCGUGUAGUC